ensembl:lncRNA
CCUCCUGGUUCAUUAAACCUGAUCCCAUACUUUUGUAUACCAUCUGUAUCUUAAUAUUAAAUUUGAUUGGUUUGUAGAAAAAAAUUAACUCAUUUUUUUGUUCUCCACUAAAGUGAUGUUAUGGAAGAAGCAGUUGGAUAAAGAACAUAAGAUGCAGAAGUUCUUUUGCCCAUUAGAAGUCUUCUAGUCAGUGGAUGAAUCAGUUAAAAGAACAUCCACAGGAGGCCUUAUUUGACAUAGCUGCUGAUUACAGCAGUAGAAAAUAAAACCUGAGUGAGCAUGGAGUGUUUAGCUGCUCUAUCAGUCCAAGAUGAGAAGCCUAACCAUAUAGAGAAGGUAGAACUGGAAGGUGAAAACCAGACACACUGCCUAGGGAGACUGCCCAAAGACCAUCACUUUCCUUGGUAAAUGAUCUCAAGCAAUCUGAUGGCACUAGGAUGUGAAGUGCCAGCACAGGACCACUGUAUCUCUUGUCUCCCAGGGUUAAUGGGUUCAUAAGCACCUGGUACAUGAAUGAAUUUGAUCCAUAAAAAUCAUACCUUUAUCAAUGUCAAUGCUUUAGUUACUUUUUCUUGAUAGUCAUGUGAACUGGGAGGACAGAAUUUUGCUCUCUUGUGAAGCAUAGGUCAUCUUGGCCUGUGGGCAACAAUAUGCAACAAUUGCAUCUGAAUGCAGGAAACUAAGCAAAAACUAAUUCCUCUGCCUUAGCACAUGUUUAAAUAUAAAUGCUUUCCUAAAUAAGUAUAUU